rnacentral:rRNA from 1 species
UACGUAGGGUGCGAGCGUUGUCCGGAAUUAUUGGGCGUAAAGAGCUCGUAGGCGGCUUGUCGCGUCGGAUGUGAAAGCCCGGGCUUAACUUCGGGUCUGCAUUCGAUACGGGCAGGCGUAGAGUUCGGUAGGGGAGAUCGGAAUUCCUGGUGUAGCGGUGAAUGACGCAGAUAUCAGGAGGAACACCGGUGGCGAAGGCGGCCUUCUGGACAGUGACUGACGCUGAGACGC